UACGGAGGAUCCAAGCGUUAUCCGGAUUUAUUGGGUUUAAAGGGUGCGUAGGCGGCUUAUUAAGUCAGGGGUGAAAGACGGUGGCUCAACCAUCGCAGUGCCUUUGAUACUGAUGAGCUUGAAUACACUUGAGGUAGGCGGAAUGUGACAAGUAGCGGUGAAAUGCAUAGAUAUGUCACAGAACACCGAUUGCGAAGGCAGCUUACUAAGGUGCAAUUGACGCUGAGGCACGAAAGCGUGGGGAUCAAACAGG
rnacentral:rRNA from 1 species